AGCGAACGUUAGCGGCGGGCCUAACACAUGCAAGUCGAACGCGAAAGGUCUUCGGACUGGGUAGAGUGGCGCACGGGUGAGCAACACGUAGGUAAUCUACCCUUUGGCGGGGGAUAACGUUCCGAAAGGAGCGCUAAUACCGCAUAAGACCACGGAGUCUCCGGACGCUGUGGGAAAAGGUGGCCUCUUCUUGAAAGCUACCACCGAAGGAUGAGCCUGCGUCCCAUCAGCUAGUUGGUAAGGUAAUGGCUUACCAAGGCGAAGACGGGUAGCUGGUUUGAGAGAAUGAUCAGCCACACUGGCACUGGAACACGGGCCAGACUCCUACGGGAGGCAGCAGUGAGGAAUAUUGGGCAAUGGGCGAAAGCCUGACCCAGCCACGCCGCGUGAGUGAAGAAGGCCU
rnacentral:rRNA from 1 species